rnacentral:tRNA from 1 species
CGCGGGGUGGAGCAGCACUGGUAGCUCGUCGGGCUCAUAACCCGAAGGUCGUCGGUUCAAAUCCGGCCCCCGCAACCA